rnacentral:rRNA from 1 species
UCCCCCUGGCUCAGAUUGAACGCUGGCGGCAGGCUUAACACAUGCAAGUCGAGCGGUAGCACAGGGGAGCUUGCUCCCUGGGUGACGAGCGGCGGACGGGUGAGUAAUGUCUGGGAAACUGCCUGAUGGAGGGGGAUAACUACUGGAAACGGUAGCUAAUACCGCAUAACGUCGCAAGACCAAAGAGGGGGACCUUCGGGCCUCUUGCCAUCAGAUGUGCCCAGAUGGGAUUAGCUAGUAGGUGGGGUAAUGGCUCACCUAGGCGACGAUCCCUAGCUGGUCUGAGAGGAUGACCAGCCACACUGGAACUGAGACACGGUCCAGACUCCUACGGGAGGCAGCAGUGGGGAAUAUUGCACAAUGGGCGCAAGCCUGAUGCAGCCAUGCCGCGUGUGUGAAGAAGGCCUUCGGGUUGUAAAGCACUUUCAGCGAGGAGGAAGGUGGUGAGCUUAAUACGCUCAUCAAUUGACGUUACUCGCAGAAGAAGCACCGGCUAACUCCGUGCCAGCAGCCGCGGUAAUACGGAGGGUGCAAGCGUUAAUCG